CGUCUCCUGGGGUGUUGGCCAGCUGGCGUCAUCCUUGAGCCGUUAUAGAAACGAAAGGGUGUUCGGCACCGAUUACGGUGUGCAGACCUAAAGCGUUAAGCGAUGCGCACGCUGCCGCUGCGGGGAGCCUUAGGAACCGGGCACGGACUCCCGCCUUGAACCGGACGGUUCAGGGUUACCAAGCAGCCGCAUCGCCGGGAGACAA
rnacentral:other from 1 species